GCGGACGUGGCGAAAUUGGUAGACGCACCAGCCUUAGGAGCUGGCGGGGCAACCCAUGCCGGUUCGAGUCCGGCCGUUCGCA
rnacentral:tRNA from 1 species